rnacentral:rRNA from 1 species
AUGAACGGGCUGCCAGCUAGGAUGUGCUCCAUGAUAGCCGCGGCCUCAAUUGUGCCAGGGUGAUGUUUCAACUUGUGGAUUAGAUUGUCGGCAAACUCUGAUUUGCCAUACAUUACCUCACAAAACAUUACGGGAAAAACCUCAGAUAGGACGGCGAAGAUGUUGCAAUCAAACAACACCAUGGCUGCAAGGGCGGCGGCCGCAGCCGUCCCACCUACAAUGGCCAACCCCUUCAUGGGGUUCAGCUUGAAGAAGCCAAUAUCUAUCCCGGCGAUCUUGAAUGCCUCGAUGGCAUCCACCUUCCUACCAUCGUGGGUAAGUGCCUCUGCAUUGGGGCGUCCAGUAAGGACACCGGUAAUGUAA